rnacentral:rRNA from 1 species
UAGGGAAUCUUCGGCAAUGGGGGCAACCCUGACCGAGCAACGCCGCGUGAGUGAAGAAGGUUUUCGGAUCGUAAAGCUCUGUUGUAAGUCAAGAAUGAGUGUGAGAGUGGAAAGUUCACACUGUGACGGUAGCUUACCAGAAAGGGACGGCUAACUACGUGCCAGCAGCCGCGGUAAUACGUAGGUCCCGAGCGUUGUCCGGAUUUAUUGGGCAUAAAGCGAGCGCAGGCGGUUUGAUAAGUCUGAAGUUAAAGGCUGUGGCUCAGCCAUAGUUCGCUUUGGAAACUGUCAAACUUGAGUGCAGAAGGGGAGAGUGGAAUUCCAUGUGUAGCGGUGAAAUGCGUAGAUAUAUGGAGGAACACCGGUGGCGAAAGCGGCUCUCUGGUCUGUAACUGACGCUGAGGCUCGAAAGCGUGGGGAGCGAACAGGAUUAGAUACCCUGGUAGUCCACGCCGUAAACGAUGAGUGCUAGGUGUUGGAUCCUUUCCGGGAUUCAGUGCCGUAGCUAACGCAUUAAGCACUCCGCCUGGGGAGUACGACCGCAAGGUUG